rnacentral:rRNA from 1 species
AACGCGAAGAACCUUACCUGGGCUCGAAAUGGAGUGGACCGGAGUAGAAAUAUUCCUUCCCCGCAAGGGGCUGCUCUAUAGGUGCUGCAUGGCUGUCGUCAGCUCGUGUCGUGAGAUGUUGGGUUAAGUCCCGCAACGAGCGCAACCCUUAUUACCAGUUGCCAUCAUUCAGUUGGGCACUCAGGUGAGACCGCCUCGGAUAACGGGGAGGAAGGCGGGGAUGACGUCAAGUCCUCAUGGCCUUUAUGUCCAGGGCUACACACGUGCUACAAUGGCCGGUACAAACCGUCGCAAACCCGUGAGGGGGAGCUAAUCGGAAAAAGCCGGCCUCAGUUCGGAUUGUAGUCUGCAACUCGACUACAUGAAGCUGGAAUCGCUAGUAAUCGCGGAUCAGAACGCCGCGGUGAAUACGUUCCCGGGCCUUGUA